rnacentral:rRNA from 1 species
ACGCGCGGAACCUUACCAGGUCUUGACAUCCUCUGACACUCCUAGAGAUAGGACGUUCCCCUUCGGGGGACAGAGUGACAGGUGGUGCAUGGUUGUCGUCAGCUCGUGUCGUGAGAUGUUGGGUUAAGUCCCGCAACGAGCGCAACCCUUGAUCUUAGUUGCCAGCAUUUAGUUGGGCACUCUAAGGUGACUGCCGGUGACAAACCGGAGGAAGGUGGGGAUGACGUCAAAUCAUCAUGCCCCUUAUGACCUGGGCUACACACGUGCUACAAUGGAUGGUACAAAGGGCAGCAAAGCGGUGACGCCUAGCGAAUCCCAUAAAACCAUUCUCAGUUCGGAUUGUAGGCUGCAACUCGCCUACAUGAAGCUGGAAUCGCUAGUAAUCGCGGAUCAGCAUGCCGCGGUGAAUACGUUCCCGGGCCUUGCACACACCGCCCGU